UGGGGAAUAUUGCACAAUGGGCGCAAGCCUGAUGCAGCCAUGCCGCGUGUAUGAAGAAGGCCUUCGGGUUGUAAAGUACUUUCAGCGAGGAGGAAGGCGUUGUGGUUAAUAACCGCAGCGAUUGACGUUACUCGCAGAAGAAGCACCGGCUAACUCCGUGCCAGCAGCCGCGGUAAUACGGAGGGUGCAAGCGUUAAUCGGAAUUACUGGGUGUAAAGCGCACGCAGGCGGUUUGUCAAGUCGGAUGUGAAAUCCCCGGGCUCAACCUGGGAACUGCAUCCGAAACUGGCAGGCUAGAGUCUUGUAGAGGGGGGUAGAAUUCCAGGUGUAGCGGUGAAAUGCGUAGAGAUCUGGAGGAAUACCGGUGGCGAAGGCGGCCCCCUGGACAAAGACUGACGCUCAGGUGCGAAAGCGUGGGGAGCAAACA
rnacentral:rRNA from 1 species